GUCGACGGCAGCACGGAGCUUGCUCUGGUGGCGAGUGGCGAACGGGUGAGUAAUAUAUCGGAACGUACCCUAGAGUGGGGGAUAACGUAGCGAAAGUUACGCUAAUACCGCAUACGAUCUAAGGAUGAAAGUGGGGGAUCGCAAGACCUCAUGCUCGUGGAGCGGCCGAUAUCUGAUUAGCUAGUUGGUAGGGUAAAAGCCUACCAAGGCAUCGAUCAGUAGCUGGUCUGAGAGGACGACCAGCCACACUGGAACUGAGACACGGUCCAGACUCCUACGGGAGGCAGCAGUGGGGAAUUUUGGACAAUGGGCGAAAGCCUGAUCCAGCAAUGCCGCGUGAGUGAAGAAGGCCUUCGGGUUGUAAAGCUCUUUUGUCAGGGAAGAAACGGUGAAAGCUAAUAUCUUUUGCUAAUGACGGUACCUGAAGAAUAAGCACCGGCUAACUACGUGCCAGCAGCCGCGGUAAUACGUAGGGUGCAAGCGUUAAUCGGAAUUACUGGGCGUAAAGCGUGCGCAGGCGGUUUUGUAAGUCUGAUGUGAAAUCCCCGGGCUCAACCUGGGAAUUGCAUUGGAGACUGCAAGGCUAGAAUCUGGCAGAGGGGGGUAGAAUUCCACGUGUAGC
rnacentral:rRNA from 1 species